CAGCAGCCACGGGAAUACCGAGGAUGCAAGCGUUAUCCGGAAUGAUUGGGCGUAAAGCGUCUGUAGGUGGCUUUUCAAGUCCGCCGUCAAAUCCCAGGGCUCAACCCUGGACAGGCGGUGGAAACUACCAAGCUGGAGUACGGUAGGGGCAGAGGGAAUUUCCGGUGGAGCGGUGAAAUGCGCUGAGAUCGGAAAGGACACCAACGGCGAAAGCACUCUGCUGGGCCGACACUGACACUGAGAGACGAAAGCUAGGGGAGCAAAUGGGAUUAGAUACCCGCGUAGUCCCUGUCUCUUAUAC
rnacentral:rRNA from 1 species